AGUAACGCGUGGGAACGUACCCUUCACUACGGAAUAGCUUCUGGAAACGGAAGGUAAUACCGUAUACGCCCUCCGGGGGAAAGAUUUAUCGGUGAAGGAUCGGCCCGCGUUAGAUUAGUUUGUUGGUGGGGUAAUGGCCUACCAAGACUACGAUCUAUAGCUGGUCUGAGAGGAUGAUCAGCCACACUGGGACUGAGACACGGCCCAGACUCCUACGGGAGGCAGCAGUGGGGAAUCUUGCACAAUGGGCGAAAGCCUGAUGCAGCCAUGCCGCGUGAAUGAUGAAGGCCUUAGGGUUGUAAAAUUCUUUCGCCAGGGAUGAUAAUGACAGUACCUGGUAAAGAAGCCCCGGCUAACUUCGUGCCAGCAGCCGCGGUAAUACGAAGGGGGCUAGCGUUGUUCGGAAUUACUGGGCGUAAAGCGCGCGUAGGCGGGCUAUUAAGCCAGAUGUGAAAGCCCGGGGCUCAACCUCGGAAUUGCAUUUGGAACUGGUAGCCUAGAGACCAGGAGAGGUUAGCGGAAUACCGAGUGUAGAGGUGAAAUUCGUAGAUAUUCGGUGGAACACCAGUGGCGAAGGCGGCUAACUGGACUGGUACUGACGCUGAGGCGCGAAAGUGUGGGGAGCAAACAGGAUUAGAUACCCUGGUAGUCCACACCGUA
rnacentral:rRNA from 1 species